CUGCGAAUGGCUCAUUAUAUAAGUUAUCGUUUAUUUGAUAGUACCUUACUACUUGGAUAACCGUGGUAAUUCUAGAGCUAAUACAUGCUAAAAAUCCCGACUUCGGAAGGGAUGUAUUUAUUAGAUUAAAAACCAAUGCCCUUCGGGGCUCACUGGUGAUUCAUGAUAACUCCUCGAAUCGCAUGGCCUUGUGCCGGCGAUGGUUCAUUCAAAUUUCUUCCCUAUCAACUUUCGAUGUUUGGGUAUUGGCCAAACAUGGUUGCAACGGGUAACGGAGGGUUAGGGCUCGACCCCGGAGAAGGAGCCUGAGAAACGGCUACUACAUCCAAGGAAGGCAGCAGGCGCGCAAAUUACCCAAUCCCGACACGGGGAGGUAGUGACAAUAAAUACUGAUACAGGGCUCUUUUGGGUCUUGUAAUUGGAAUGAGUACAAUUUAAAUCCCUUAACGAGGAACAAUUGGAGGGCAAGUCUGGUGCCAGCAGCCGCGGUAAUUCCAGCUCCAAUAGCGUAUAUUAAAGUUGUUGUGGUUAAAAAGCUCGUAGUUGAACCUUGGGCCUGGCUGGCCGGUCCGCCUCACCGCGUGUACUGGUCCGGCCGGGCCUUUCCCUCUGUGGAACCCCAUGCCCUUCACUGGGUGUGGCGGGGAAACAGGACUUUU
rnacentral:rRNA from 1 species